CGUGACUCGAAGUUAAUCAGUGCAGCUGAGUGCGACCAGUGUUGAUAGUUCAUGAUAGCUCGAGUAGUUUUGGAUGAUUUGGACCACUUGGACUUUGGAAAUCUGUACACACCGCUCGAAAUUGGUUUGAUUUCGUAACAGUACAUAUACCUAUAUGUGUUAAUUUUUUUUUAUUUUUUGUUGGUACGUGAAAAAUAAGUAUGUUAUCGUUUUUUCGUAAAUUGUCGUUAUCGGACAAAGUUAAGGAAGGCAUACUGCCGUACGGAGUUAUGGCCACCCCAGAAGAUCUUUUGAAAGCUAAAAACCAGAGCAAUUUAUUAUUGAAGGAUGAAAAUGAGCUGAGGGAAACUAUUUAUGAUUUGCUCCGAACAAUAAAAGACCCCGAAAAACCCCAAACCCUUGAAGAACUGGAUGUUGUGUAUGAGGAUUGCGUCUACAUAAAUAAACCGACAACAAAAGGUGUUUCAGUGAUUCGAAUUGAGUUUAACCCAACAGUACCACACUGUUCCUUAGCUACGCUCAUCGGUCUCUGUAUCCGUGUUAAAUUAGAACGUCACUUAAUCGCUUCGUUCAAACUGGAUAUCUAUAUCAAGGAAGGGGCUCAUGCAACAGAAGAUGAAAUUAACAAACAAAUAAACGACAAAGAACGAAUCGCCGCUGCAAUGGAAAACCCUAACUUGAGAGAUCUUGUUGAGAAGUGUAUUCAAGAGGAAGAAUGACCUGAUUUAAUUAUAUCGAUUUUACAUACCUGACUGGCUUUGCAUUUGGAAUGUCUUCCGCAUGUAUGCUGGGAUGAUUGUUGGGGAUCUUUUGGUAUGUUUGAAAAUUCGAUGUUCAUCUCACAAAAAUAGUUAAUUCCUUCGAUUGGUGAGAAAACUAUUUCUUCAUUCAAAUCUUUCCAGCAAAGGUUGCGGCUCUGGUACUGGCGGAGGCGGUUCAACAUCUUCAAUGUCAAAUAAUUUGUAGAUUACUGAAUUUGGAAGGAAGCCAAACAAUCGCAAAUGCGGAUGCUGUACUUCAUCAGGUACAGCUUCUGGAUAUUCCGGGAAUUUUUCAAUACUGUAACCUGAUUUCCAUCGAAAAAUAUUAAAAAAUACUAAUGGUAUUAUGCGCAUCGAUAUGACGAUCUACAUCAAAUGUACGUCUAACGGUAUUUAAUAGCUAUUGAGUAACUUCUGUAUUUUGAUCUCGAUCCUUACCAUAAAACAUUUUGAAUAUUCCAGGUUUGUUGUAAUAUCUUUUCACAGUUUUGUACUUUUCAACCAUAGCCCAAACAUCAUAUGGCGGUACUUCUGUGCUUGUUUUAUUCGAUCUUCCCAAUAUAUCAUCGAGAUAUUUUUCCCAGGCUUCUUGAUUCAUGAGCGACUUUCCUGUCACUAAUUUCACCGCCUUUAUUUCACCUUUCUCUAUACUAAUUACAUCUGAAAUUCAAAUUAAGCUAAUAAUCUCACAUCAUUUGACAUGUAAAUCGCCAUCAUAUGAACAAGGUUUCCUCAUACCCUGAUCUCUACGUCGUAGCUGAGCACACAUUUGUCCCUGGAUCAUUAAUUCCAAGCGAGGUGCGUCACCGUCACUGAUGUCCAAUGAUCCAAGGGGUGCGCUGCUAACAGGAUGUAACAAAAAUUCUCGAUCUACGAUACUUUCAUAGACUCUGUAGUCUUUGUUCUCAGGUAUCAUCUCUUCUUCAUUUUCUUCAGGUAUUCCGUUCAUCAGUAUUCGAGCUCUGUAUUUUGGGGACAGAUCUGCCCAAUGAAAUAUACUUCAGUAACGAUUCAUAAAUGGUUUGAAAACGAACUAGAAUAUAAACUCUUGAUAUCUGUGUUUUGUUUUUUCUAGUACAGAGUAAUGCAUUCUUACAAUGACAAUACGAAAUUCUGUACAAGUGUCUCCCAGCGCCAAAGACGAUAUCUCCUCGCUGAGAGGAGAAAGCAAUGCUGUUAGCACAUGUGUUUAUUUCUAAUACCUGAAAGUUGAACAACCAUCUCAUAUUGAUGUUACAUACGCAUUCAAUUACUCAUGCUUGAAUUUUGGACUCUUACUUUAAUAGGUAUAUUCUGGUGGUCCCAGAGACGUAUCGUGUUGUCCAUAGAGGACGUUGCACAGAUUUGGAGGGACUCUGAAGCUGCUAUGUCCACUAUCAAAUCUGUAUGAUCUUUCGUCGAAUGAUGAUCUACUCGAACUAACAGAUAAUUUAAUGUAAAGUCAUUUGUGCAGUUUGAACAUUGACAAUCAGGUACCUGAUUCCACCAUGUCGUACAUGAAUAAUUGAUGCAUUGGAGUCAGAGGACUGCUACUCGCCAUGCAAAUUACUGAUCUGUAAAAAUAUUACACAUACAUGUGUGUAAUUUUCAGAACGUUUUAUAUAAAAAGAAUAAUUUUUUUCUGGCCUCUAAUCAGAGGUUUUUUGUCAAAUUUAAAGUACAAGCAGUCAAGGCACGACUCACCCCAUGCUAACAACGUGCGUUAUCGGAACUGUAUAAUAAACCGAGUGUGCCAAGGCUAAUGGAACUUCCAAGUCAGGAAAUACUCGCCAAACUUUAACACUUUUGUCCGCUCCCACAGAUACAACAAGCCGUGAUAUGGUCGAUGACCAUAUUUUUGUUACUGGUCCAUUGUGAGCCUACGAUAUGAAAAUAUAAUUAUCAAAA